CUCAUUUUUUCUCUUGCCACCACCAUGUAAGAAGUGCCUUUCGCCUCCCGCCAUGAUUCCGAGGCCUCCCCAGCCACAUAGAACUGUUGUCGCUGCCCUCAACCUCCAGAUGCAGCCCCCUGCCACCUUCAGGACCCCUGGCUCUCCCUUUGACUCAGUAGUGAAAGGGUUUCUGUGCUUGGAGGGAGUCCUUCAGGAAUCUGUGCAUAGAAUGCCAUAGUACAGAGGAAACAGCCCCAGAAAAUGGAACAGCUACUAAGUGAGACUCCUCAGCCAGGCCAGAGAACGUGCAUUCUGACGGACAGCUUCUCAUUUGCACCGAUCACUGUGAGUGCCUGAUGGGGAGGCAUCCGGCGCCCAGAGAAAGAGUUGUUCUAUAAUCCUUGCACUCCUAGAAAUGAGUGCUUCUUACCAAGAUGAAAUCCACUCAUUAUUUAUGAAUGGCUCAGUUUUGAUUUCAUCUUCCAAAGUCUUCUUUCUGAAACCAGCCCAACUUUUCUCCCAGAGAGUAUCAUGGAACUGAACUUUCAAGAUCACGGCAUCUGGACAUCGAGACAACAGAACCCUCAUCCGGCCACCUGCUGCUUGCUGACCAAUUCCCAUAUAAACCGCUAACUUCAGUCAGUUGGAGAGACGGAUUUGAGAUUUGCCUUCUGUCUCACAGCUGAUGUCACCAGCAAUAAAGCUUUCUUCCCUGACAAUA